rnacentral:misc_RNA from 1 species
GAAGAAGAAGAAGAAGAAGAUGGUUCAACCAAAGGGAAAAAGAAAAUAGAAAGAAAAUUGAGUGGCACAGACACCACAGAGAUAGAAUAAGAUUUCAUCUGAUAAUGCAAAUCUUGUUUCAGCUCAGUUCAUCCAAAAGGUUUCAUUAGCAAGCAAUCAUUUUAUAAGACAUUUCCAUCCUUACAUUCCAUCUAUUCCCUUUUGAAUAGUUCUGAAAAAGUAAUCAAUAAAAGAGGAAGAAAAAAAAAAUUCUAAAAGCAUCCGACUGAGAAAUCACAAUGUUUACUUUAUUCAAUCUCGUGGACAGUUGACUCUGCAAGUAGUUUUUAGAAUUCAAUUAUAAUGCCCAAAGCUGUCAAACACCUCGAGUCAUUACAUACUUAACCCACCAAAAAUCAUAAGGGUAUUGCCACAACCAAUCAGAACACAACCCAUACUUGAAGAAUAUAGCUUUUCGGGGAAAACAAAUUCCUGAUUAAGAACUAUAAUUGUAGCCUAUGUCAAGUCAGUCUUGGAUUUACAUCAGUAAUCUAUCAAGCAUACCUAGAACCUCAACGGAAAUAGAGAUAUCUAGAACCUCAACGGAAAUAGAGAUAUCUAGAACCUCAACGGAAAUAGAGAUAUCUAGCUAAAAGCAACAAAAUAGGCACACAUGCAAAAUAGAUUCAAUUCAAAAGUAAGUAAUCAAGCGAACUCCACAGUCCAUAGGUUAAAACUGUCUACGUCACAACAUAAAAACUCACAGAAUUUGAAUCUAGCAAAUUGAAAUGAUCAAUGGAUCAUGAUCACGCAACAGAAUUACGCAUACCC